GCAGAGUGAUAUUUUGCCAAUGUUUUAAUUUUUAUAACUUUUGCAAGAAAAAAAAAGAUCCUCAUUAGCAAGAAUGAGCAUAUUUGUAAAGAGGGAAGAAAGAAAAACAGAAGCUCUGGUAACAGCUCCAAGGCAUCCAAAGACAUGUCCACUGGGAACAUAUAAUGCACUACAUCUGGGUAGGAAAGUAUUUUAAGACCCUGUUAUUUACUGUAUGUUUAUACCAUCAAGUAUGAGAAUACAAAUAUUUAUGCAGGCUACAACAAACUUCCUACAAGUUGGGCAUGUCAGCUGAAUUUUACUUUAACUUUUAGAAAUACAGUAGCUAAUAUCUGUAGCAAGUUGUUAGUUUAAGUGAGAGAUUCAGGUGCCUGAAGAGGCAUCUGGUGUCAUGCAGAGGCUAGCAGGUGUGAAAAGACCAAAAGAAAGCUGAAAACUUUCUUCACAUUGCCAGCUGGAGGCCAGGUGGGAAACUACAAGGAGGUGAUAGACAGAAAAUUAACUUUACCACGGGAGCCUCUCCAAGGUGAGCCAACUUUGCAUCUAUCACGUUUCCAUCUUUCUCCAGUUGUACUUCAAUAUAAAACAUGUCUGAUGUUAUGUAGCAGGUAGUCCCACUGGGGCUAACAUAAGAGUUAAGCCUAAGGAGAGAGUUAAAAAAAAGUUUGUGUAUCUAAAAGUUCUGUCACAUGGAGAAAGGAAAUGAGCAUAGUUUACUUCGUCAUGGGAAGAGACACCAGGGAUGCUUCAAAAAUAACUCUUCCUUGGCUCAGUUUCUAAAAACUAUCCAAGCAGACAAUAUAACCUUGCUCUGUUCUUUGCAUUAUUAUGUCAGUUUGCUGAAAACCAUUUACUUCAGUCUGCUGCUUUGGGACCUAGACGUGAAUGCCCUCUCUUCACCCAGCAACCUCCUCCACAACAAGCUAAUCAAAAGCAGCAGCUAUGUCCACUCCAGCUGUGUCACCAGUCAUGCUGCAGUGCCUGAGAUAGUCACAUAAGAUGUAAAGGAGAUUACAGAGAAAGCUAUGCGUGGACCUGGGAAUCGCAGGAGAGUUGCAAGGUGUCUGCAAAAAAGAAGGCGUUUGUUUACAAACAGAAGAGUGUCAAACAUACAUGUAUAACAUGUUGUCAAUGCAGCUGAAAGAAUUAACUAUUUUAGUAUUUCAGUUUUUACAAAGGAGGCUGUUGUCGACGGAGGGAAGACACAGACGCUCAAUAUGAGUGAUCAGUGAAUUUCAUUUUAUUGCCCGAAUAGCCUAGCUUUUAUAGUGAAUUUGACAGAGGCGUACAGUGUUUCACACAAGAUCAUUGGACAAAAGCACUCAGACAAACAACUAUAAGAAAACAAUCCCACCUGCAAGAAAAGAACCCCCCUUGUGAUUAGCA
rnacentral:lncRNA from 1 species